rnacentral:rRNA from 1 species
UUGGUCAUGCUAGAAAGAGCGUAUGGUGGAUGCCUUGGCACUAAGAGCCGAUGAAAGACGUGAUAAGCUGCGAAAAGCUUCGGGGAGGAGCAAAUAUCCUUUGAUCCGGAGAUCUCUGAAUGGGGAAACCCACUUGAGCAAACCUCAAGUAUCCUAACGCCAAUACAUAACGUUAGGAGGGGAACCCGGUGAACUGAAACAUCUAAGUAGCCGGAGGAAGAGAAAACAACAUGUGAUUCUGUGAGUAGCGGCGAGCGAAAACGGAAGAGCCCAAACCGGGAUGCGUGCAUCCCGGGGUUCGGACCGCAUAAUUGAUUCAACAAAUUUAGCAGAACGGUUUUGGGAAAGCCGGCCAGAGAGGGUGAAAGCCCCGUAAGCGAAAGAUGAGUUGACAUGGCGGUAUCCAGAGUAGGUCGAGACACGUGGAACCUUGACUGAACAUGCGGGGACCACCCCGUAAGGCUAAAUACUCCUUAGUGACCGAUAGCGCAUAGUACUGUGAAGGAACGGUGAAAAGGACCCCGGGAGGGGAGUGAAACAGAACCUGAAACCAUAUGUUUACAAGCUGUGGAACCAUGUUUUAUGUGGAACCGCGUACUUUUUGUAGAACGGUCCGGCGAGUUGCGCUGGCUGGCGAGGUUAAGCACCAAAGGUGUGGAGCCGAAGGGAAACCAAGUCUUAAUAGGGCGAAUGAGUCAGUCGGAGCAGACCCGAAACCGGGUGAUCUAUCCAUGUCCAGGUUGAAGUUGCCGUAAAAGGCAAUGGAGGACCGAACCCACAUCCGUUGAAAAGGGUGGGGAUGAGGUGUGGAUAGGGGAGAAAUUCCAAUCGAACCCGGAGAUAGCUGGUUCUCCUCGAAAUAGCUUUAGGGCUAGCCUCAUAUAAGUCUUGCGGAGGUAGAGCACUGAAUUUCCUAGGGGGCGUCAAAGCUUACCGAAGAAUAUCAAACUCCGAAUGCCGUGUAGAUGUUGUAUGGGAGUCAGACUGUACGAGAUAAGUUGGACAGUCAAAAGGGAAAGAGCCCAGACCUGCAGCUAAGGCCCCAAAAUGUGUGUUAAGUGGAAAAGGAUGUGGGAUUUCAAAGACAACUAGGAUGUUGGCUUAGAAGCAGCCAUACAUUCAAAGAGUGCGUAAUAGCUCACUAGUCGAGAGGUCCUGCGCCGAAAAUGUCCGGGGCUGAAACACACUGCCGAAGCUCAGGAAUUAACUGAUGUUAAUUGGUAGAGGAGCAUUGUAUACGGGACGAAGCAGUACCGAUAAGGAGCUGUGGACUGUAUAGAAGAGAGAAUGCCGGAAUGAGUAGCGAGAGGAAGGUGAGAAUCCUUCCGGCCGAAUAUCUAAGGUUUCCAGAGUAAAGCUGAUCUGCUCUGGGUAAGUCGGGGCCUAAGGCCAGGUCGAAAGACGUAACCGAUGGACAACAGGUUGAAAUUCCUGUACCUUAAGUAAACAGAACUGUGGGGACACGUGUGGAGAGCACAAGCCGGAAAUGGAAAAGCCGGUGCAAGCG